UACAUGAGUGGCAAGCGUUAUCCGUAUUUAUUGGGCGUAAAGGAUGCGUAGAUUGUAAAAGAAGUUAUGACUUACUAUAAUAGAACAAUUAGGUCUUUCAUAAAACCUUUUUACUAGAGUUUUUUUUAAGUAUGCGGCAUUUGUGAAUUAGUGAUGAAAUACUUUGAAUUUACAAGUAUCCCCUAUGUGUAAACAGCAUACUAGUUAAAACUGACAUUGAGGCAUUAAAGUAUGGCCAUCUAAUAGG
rnacentral:rRNA from 1 species